UAUAAGAGACAGGUCGUAGACCCGAAACCAGGUGAUCUACCCUUGGUCAGGUUGAAGUUCAGGUAACACUGAAUGGAGGACCGAACCGACUUACGUUGAAAAGUGAGCGGAUGAACUGAGGGUAGCGGAGAAAUUCCAAUCGAACUUGGAGAUAGCUGGUUCUCUCCGAAAUAGCUUUAGGGCUAGCCUCAAGUGAUGAUUAUUGGAGGUAGAGCACUGUUUGGACGAGGGGCCCUUCUCGGGUUACCGAAUUCAGACAAACUCCGAAUGCCAAUUAAUUUAACUUGGGAGUCAGAACAUGGGUGAUAAGGUCCGUGUUCGAAAGGGAAACAGCCCAGACCACCAGCUAAGGUCCCAAAAUAUAUGUUAAGUGGAAAAGGAUGUGGCGUUGCCCAGACAACUAGGAUGUUGGCUUAGAAGCAGCCAUCAUUUAAAGAGUGCGUAAUAGCUCACUAGUCGAGUGACACUGCGCCGAAAAUGUACCGGGGCUAAACAUAUUACCGAAGCUGUGGAUUGUCCGUAGGACAAUGGUAGGAGAGCGUUCUAAGGGCGUCGAAGCAUGAUCGCAAG
rnacentral:rRNA from 1 species